rnacentral:rRNA from 1 species
UACGGAGGAUGCGAGCGUUAUCCGGAUUUAUUGGGUUUAAAGGGUGCGUAGGCGGCGAGUUAAGUCAGCGGUAAAAGCCCGGGGCUCAACCCCGGCCCGCCGUUGAAACUGGCUGGCUUGAGUUGGGGAAAGGCAGGCGGAAUGCGCGGUGUAGCGGUGAAAUGCAUAGAUAUCACGAAGAACUCCGAUUGCGAAGGCAGCUUACCAGUCUGCGACUGACGCUCAGGCACGAAAGUGUGGGUAUCGAACAGG